AACAUAGUGCCUGACUUUAAAAGGAUAGCUUUGAUAGAGCUAAUCAUGUAAUUUUAUUACCUAUGUUA
rnacentral:tRNA from 1 species